rnacentral:rRNA from 1 species
AUUGAACGCUGGCGGCAUGCCUUACACAUGCAAGUCGAACGGCAGCACGGGAGCAAUCCUGGUGGCGAGUGGCGAACGGGUGAGUAAUAUAUCGGAACGUGCCCAGUCGUGGGGGAUAACGCAGCGAAAGCUGUGCUAAUACCGCAUACGAUCUCUGGAUGAAAGCGGGGGACUCGCAAGGGCCUCGCGCGAUUGGAGCGGCCGAUAUCAGAUUAGGUAGUUGGUGAGGUAAAGGCUCACCAAGCCAACGAUCUGUAGCUGGUCUGAGAGGACGACCAGCCACACUGGAACUGAGACACGGUCCAGACUCCUACGGGAGGCAGCAGUGGGGAAUUUUGGACAAUGGACGCAAGCCUGAUCCAGCCAUGCCGCGUGAGUGAAGAAGGCCUUCGGGUUGUAAAGCUCUUUCGGCGGGGAAGAAAUUGCUUCGGUUAAUACCCGGAGUAGAUGACGGUACCCGCAUAAGAAGCACCGGCUAACUACGUG